AAUACGGAGGGUGCGAGCGUUGUCCGGAAUCACUGGGCGUAAAGGGCGCGUAGGCGGCGCGGGCAGUCAACGGUGAAAGCUCAGGGCUCAACCCUGAGUCGGCCGUCGAUACUCCCGUGCUGGAGCACUGUAGAGGCAGGUGGAAUUCCGGGUGUAGCGGUGGAAUGCGUAGAGAUCCGGAAGAACACCGGUGGCGAAGACGGCCUGCUGGGCAGUAGCUGACGCUGAGGCGCGACAGCGUGGGGAGCAAACA
rnacentral:rRNA from 1 species